ensembl:lncRNA
CGAUCCAUUAUAGCUGAUGUGCGAUGCCUUCGUCUUUGCUGUGACUGUGAGGGCUUCAGAGCGCUCUGCUCGGCCGAGGAGUCAAGAGGCGUGGAGCGAUAUCAUCGGUUUGGACUUCUGUUUGAGACGAGAUGGGAUUGUGCCACUGAACGGGGUCACAUUUUCAAGUGGAUUUUGGAGUUGAACUUGAAUUACGUUUUUUGGAGUUAACCACUUGAAUGAAGUCUUUUUUUUAUGUCAGGAUAUUUUUGGGAUCCAAUAUAGCCUAUGCACCCGCUGACCAGUGAUAACACUGUUACAGAGACACACGUGAGACUUGACAUGGAGUUGUAUCUUGUGAAAACACGAAAACGUCUUAAACGUGUCCUGUCUGGAGAAAUCAGUUGUUCUUGUUGCUCUCAUGGAGCGGACCGGUACACUUCAUGGUUUUGCGCAGGGCACGCUACAGUGAAGCCGGAGCCUUGCUCUGCGGGUUGUCUGGACGAUGGCUGGGACCCUAUGGUCAGCAUGCCUUUGGGAAUAGACCGCGCUGUCACACAUACACACACACACACACACACACACACCACUCAAACACACACACACACACACACACUCACACACGGAGGAGUGAUAAUAUGAAUCUUUCCUGCGGAAAAGCACCUCUUUGGAGUACCGGUGACCUGUCUGAUGGAUUAUUGUGACAUUGGAACUUACCAAAGAAUCAACUUGUGUGGAUGAAUGGAGACAGAAGACAGCUGUGUUUGCCUUCUGAGAGCCCUGCACUUCAAACGCCGGUGGACGUGGACAUGCAGCAGCAGCAGCAGCAGCAGCGCAGCAGCAGCGCAGCAGAAAGAAUGAAGUCGAUUCACAAAGUGUUCAGAAAACAUUGGGAACAUGUUGGAGCGCUGGAAUGUUGGAAUGUGGAUGAAAUGUUGAUAGAAUAGAUCUUUGUUCGUUUUUUAAGAGAACGUUCCAGGAACGCUGAAAAGGGUAAGCAGGGUGAGGAGACGUUAUGAGCAGUAGAUACAUCUAGUGUGUGUGUGUGUGCGUGUGUGUGUGUGUGUGUGUGCGUGUGUGUGUGUGGGUGUGUGUGUGUGUGUGUGUGUGUAGGUGGGUGUGUGUGGAGAGAGUGGGAGGGGGUCGGGGGGG